GACGAACGCUGGCGGCGUGCUUAACACAUGCAAGUCGAACGGAAAGGCCCUGCUUUUGUGGGGUGCUCGAGUGGCGCACGGGUGAGUAAAACGUGUGUAGACCGCCCCUGUCUUUGGGAUAACUUCAGGAAAAUGGGGCUCAUACAGGAUAGGAGCUCUUGCUGCAUGGUGGGGGUUGGAAAGUUUCGGCGGUGGUGGCUGGACUCGCGGCUUAUGCGCUUGUUGGUGGGGUAGUGGCUUACCAAGGCUGCGACGGGUAGGCGGCCUGAGAGGGUGACCGGCCACCAUGGGACUGCGAGACGGCCCAGACUCGUACGUGAGGCAGUAGUGGAGAAUAUUGCAGAGUGGGGGGGAGCCUGAGACGACGACGCCGCGUGCGUGAUGACGUGCUUCGAGUUGUGAACCGCUGUGUCCGUUAACGAAGCGUGAUUGACGGUAAUGGGUAAGGAAGCACCGGCUAACUACGUG
rnacentral:rRNA from 1 species